UUAAGUUCAGCGGGUAGCCCUACCUGAUUUGAGAUCGAACUUCGAAAAGCUGUCUCCGCUGAAGAGAGACAUUUGUGAGCUCUGGCGAACUCUGUGAUCAGAGGAUACCUGGCAGACGAUCACGAGCGUAGAUAGUUAUCACACUUGUGACGCCACCAAACACCAGCGAGCUAAUCCAUUUGAGGAGAGCUGACCACAGG
rnacentral:misc_RNA from 1 species